AUUGAACGCUGGCGGCAGGCCUAACACAUGCAAGUCGAGCGGAUGAUGGGAGCUUGCUCCUGGAUUCAGCGGCGGACGGGUGAGUAAUGCCUAGGAAUCUGCCUGGUAGUGGGGGACAACGUUUCGAAAGGAACGCUAAUACCGCAUACGUCCUACGGGAGAAAGCAGGGGACCUUCGGGCCUUGCGCUAUCAGAUGAGCCUAGGUCGGAUUAGCUUGUUGGUGAGGUAAUGGCUCACCAAGGCGACGAUCCGUAACUGGUCUGAGAGGAUGAUCAGUCACACUGGAACUGAGACACGGUCCAGACUACUACGGGAGGCAGCAGUGGGGAAUAUUGGACAAUGGGCGAAAGCCUGAUCCAGCCAUGCCGCGUGUGUGAAGAAGGUCUUCGGAUUGUAAAGCACUUUAAGUUGGGAGGAAGGGUUGUAGAUUAAUACUCUGCAAUUUUGACGUUACCGACAGAAUAAGCACCGGCUAACUCUGUGCCAGCCGCCGCGGUAAUAC
rnacentral:rRNA from 1 species